rnacentral:rRNA from 1 species
GACGAACGCUGGCGGCGUGCUUAACACAUGCAAGUCGAACGGAAAGGCCCUGCUUUUGUGGGGUGCUCGAGUGGCGAACGGGUGAGUAACACGUGAGUAACCUGCCCUUGACUUUGGGAUAACUUCAGGAAACUGGGGCUAAUACCGGAUAGGAGCUCCUGCUGCAUGGUGGGGGUUGGAAAGUUUCGGCGGUUGGGGAUGGACUCGCGGCUUAUCAGCUUGUUGGUGGGGUAGUGGCUUACCAAGGCUUUGACGGGUAGCCGGCCUGAGAGGGUGACCGGCCACAGGGGGACUGAGAUACGGCCCAGACUCCUACGGGAGGCAGCAGUGGGGAAUAUUGCACAAUGGGCGGAAGCCUGAUGCAGCAACGCCGCGUGCGGGAUGACGGCCUUCGGGUUGUAAACCGCUUUCGCGUGUGACGAAGCGUGAGUGACGGGAAUGGGUAAAGAAGCACCGGCUAACUACG